GACGAACGCUGGCGGCGUGCCUAAUACAUGCAAGUAGGACGCAGUUGCGAACGGGUGAGUAACGCGUAGGUAACUACCUAUUAGAGGGGGAUAACUAUUGGAAACGAUAGCUAAUACCGCAUACUAGCAGAUGGACCUGCGUUGUAUUAGCUAGUAGGUAGGGUAAUGGCCUACCUAGGCAACGAUACAUAGCCGACCUGAGGGGGGGAUCGGGCAAACUGGGAAUGGGACAAGGGCCAGACUCCUACGGGAGGCAGCAGGAGGGAAGCUUCGGCAAUGGGGGGAACCCUUGCCGGGCAACGCCGCGUGAGGGAAGAAGGUUUUCGGAUCGGAAAGCUCUGUUGUUAAGGAAGCGGUACUUAACCAGAAAGGGACGGCUAACUACGUGCCAGCAGCCGCGGUAAUUC
rnacentral:rRNA from 1 species